rnacentral:rRNA from 1 species
CCUACGGGAGGCAGCAGUGGGGGAUAUUGCACAAUGGGGGAAACCCUGAUGCAGCGACGCCGCGUGUGGGAAGACGGUCCUCUGGAUUGUAAACCACUGUCCCCAGGGACGAAGAUGACGGUACCUGGGGAGGAAGCUCCGGCUAACUACGUGCCAGCAGCCGCGGUAAUACGUAGGGAGCGAGCGUUGUCCGGAAUUACUGGGUGAAAAGGGAGCGGAGGCGGGACUGCAAGUUGGGUGUCAAAUCUACCGGCUCAACCGGUAGCCGCACUCAAAACUGCAGUUCUUGAGUGAAGGAGAGGCAGGCGGAAUUCCUAGUGUAGCGGUGAAAUGCGUAGAUAUUAGGAGGAACACCAGUGGCGAAGGCGGCCUGCUGGGCUUUUACUGACGCUGAGGCUCGAAAGUGUGGGGAGCAAACAGGAUUAGAUACCCCAGUAGUC